AAGCCCGUGCAGAAUUCGUCCCACCGUCGGCAAACAGGCGCGGCCCAGUACUCAAUUAUUCAUGAGGCUUGCAGAUGAGGGGCCCGCCCCAGGCUCAGACCGGGGCGAAACUGACGCAAUUCAGCCGGGGGCGCUCGGGUAAAAUGGACACCGAGACGGCUGCCUAGAGAGACUGCCUUGGCGGCCCCUCCCGGGCCCCGCCGCCUGCACGGAGUGCAGUACCAUCGAGCUACGCCGGCAAGAAGGUAGCCGCCGGCGGACUGGAGCGGCUUCCUGGUACAGCCACCUGAGUGCUGAGAACGCGCGCAACGUGGCCACCCCUCCUGUGUCACUUCAGAUUUAGAGCCACGGUGAGGAAGUCUGGCAGCUCUGCUUUCCUCGGCUGCAACCACCACCACCCUACACACACGCUCAUCCUCGCCGACUCUCCAGGCUCACGUUUCCACUCCCCCGGCUGCGGGAAGGACAGUCAAUCCUGAUUUCAUUAUCUAAAGCCUUGGAAGACCCUUGACUCAUAGAUUCUCAGGUGGCCCAUCCGGGCAGAGGCGGGUGAAAACCAAUGCUUCUCCAGCCGGGAACAGAACAGGAUGUGCCUCGAGACUUGCUUCCCGGCUGGCCAGGCUCUGCCUAGUCUGACCAGGGCAGUAACCACCACCAAUAAAAGUAGGAGCAACAAACCAGGGCUACAAAGAAAGCAUAAAGACAUGGUUUCCAAAGUCAGUUCCCUUUAUUAAAUCAUUUUCACAGACCAGAAAUACAAAAUAAAAGUAGAAAUAGGCCCCAGGUAGGAGCUACAGGCCUGGCCUCACAUGACCCCUGCUCCAGCAACUUGAACAGGACCAGCAGCAGCUACAUCCUUAAUUAAGGUCGGGAAAGUAAGAUGAGGAUUUUGAUCCUGCGUUGCCCUGCCUCCCACCC